AUUGAACGUUGGCGGCAGGCCUAAAACAUGCAAGUCGAACGGUAACAGCGAGAGCUUGCUCUCGGCUGACGAGUGGCGGACGGGUGAGUAAUACGUAGGAAUCUACCUAGUAGUGGGAGACAACCCGGGGAAACCCGGGCUAAUACCGCAUACGCUCUAAGGAGGAAAGCGGGGGAUCUUCGGACCUCGCGCUGUUAGAGGAGCCUGCGUCGGAUUAGCUAGUUGGUGGGGUAAAGGCCUACCAAGGCGACGAUCCGUAGCUGGUCUGAGAGGACGAUCAGCCACACUGGAACUGAGACACGGUCCAGACUCCUACGGGAGGCAGCAGUUAGGAAUCUUGGGCAAUGGGCGAAAGCCUGACCCAGCCAUGCCGCGUGUGUGAAGAAGGCCUUCGGGUUGUAAAGCACUUUCAGCGGUGAAGAAAAGCUCAGGGCUAAUACCCCUCGAGUUUUGACGUUAACCACAGAAGAAGCACCGGCUAACUCCGUGCCAGCCGCCGCCGUAAAAC
rnacentral:rRNA from 1 species